AACGCGAAGAACCUUACCUGGGCUUGACAUAUACAGGAUCGGGCUAGAGAUAGUCUUUCCCUUGUGGUCUGUAUACAGGUGGUGCAUGGUUGUCGUCAGCUCGUGUCGUGAGAUGUUGGGUUAAGUCCCGCAACGAGCGCAACCCUUGUCUUAUGUUGCCAGCACGUUAUGGUGGGAACUCAUGAGAGACUGCCGGGGUUAACUCGGAGGAAGGUGGGGAUGACGUCAAAUCAUCAUGCCCCUUAUGUCCAGGGCUUCACACAUGCUACAAUGGUCGAUACAGUGGGCAGCGACAUCGUAAGGUGGAGCGAAUCCCUGAAAGUCGGCCUUAGUUCGGAUUGGGGUCUGCAACUCGAGAGCGUGAAGCCGGAAUCGCUAGUAAUCGCGGAUCAGCACGCCGCGGUGAAUACGUUCCCGGGUCUUGUACACACCG
rnacentral:rRNA from 1 species